rnacentral:rRNA from 1 species
CUACGUCCAUAUCACGUUGAAAACACCGGUUCUCAUCCGUUCACCGAAGUUAAGCAACGUCAAGUCCGGUUAGUACUUGGAUGGGUGACCGCCUGGGAAUACAGGGUGUUGUAG